GGUAGCGUGGCCGAGUGGUCUAAGGUGCUGGUUUUAGGCACCAGUCUCUUUGGAGGCGUGGGUUCAAAUCCCACCGCUGCCA
rfam:Stegodyphus mimosarum contig116368, whole genome shotgun sequence.